rnacentral:siRNA from 1 species
AAAUAGUCUUUUGAGUCAACAC